CAGCGUCGGAGGUGUUUACGCUAAAAUUUGCUGCCUCGGCACUCUUCCCGCCAGCCAGCCGGGGAUUAAAUUUCAGCUGACGCAGCAUGCACAGAACCCCGUAUAUAAGAUCUUCCACGUUAAAUACAAUUCCGGAAAACAAAUCAGUGUAAUUUAAAACGUGAUAAACACUAAGAAUAACAGUAAUAUAUAUAAAUAUGACGAAAUAAACAUUAAUAGUUUGUAAAGUGUUCGAUCAGCGGCAACUCUCCCGCACGUUCCUCCGCCGCCUGCUGCAUGUGCUUACCCGCCACGGAUAAUGUGAAUGACAAAGACAACAGCUUCAAACAGUGGGAUCCCUGCAAUGAACAUUAGUGUAUCAUUUGAUGGCACAUACGUCAUUCUACGCAUCAGCUGUUCUCUGGAGCUGCAGAAUACAAUUUCCACCAUAAUUAACUACAUAUCCCAAGGGUGUGAAUGCCAUAAUCCUUGGUGUAGCUGUACUUGCCCUUGCUUCUGUACCUGCCUGCCAUUCUGGUUUCAAGUAAACGAGUUUUUUUAAGGUUUUAAAUGGAUCGAAAGGAAAAACGAAAGCAAUAUCAGAGAAGUUGGAUAGCUAGAAAAAGAUUUGCAAAAAAAAUUGCAACAUGUUCAACAAAAGACCGUAGCAGUGACAGUAACGAUUCUGUUGAUUUAUGUGCAGAUAUAAUUCACUCUUCAGAAAAUGCGAAGGACUUGUCUGUGGAAGAUGUAGCACCACAUAGUACAGAAAGUAGUGAGGAUGGUGAUGAAACAUGGUGUUUGAUUGAAGAAAA
rnacentral:misc_RNA from 1 species